rnacentral:rRNA from 1 species
UACGAAGGGGGCUAGCGUUGCUCGGAAUCACUGGGCGUAAAGGGUGCGUAGGCGGGGCUUUAAGUCAGGGGUGAAAUCCUGGAGCUCAACUCCAGAACUGCCUUUGAUACUGAAGAUCUUGAGUUCGGGAGAGGUGAGUGGAACUGCGAGUGUAGAGGUGAAAUUCGUAGAUAUUCGCAGGAACACCAGUGGCGAAGGCGGCUCACUGGCCCGAUACUGACGCUGAGGCACGAAAGCGUGGGGAGCGAACAGG